AUUGAACGCUGGCGGCAUGCCUUACACAUGCAAGUCGAACGGUAACAGGUUAAGCUGACGAGUGGCGAACGGGUGAGUAAUACAUCGGAACGUGCCCAGUAGUGGGGGAUAGCCCGGCGAAGGCCGGAUUAAUACCGCAUACGACCUAAGGGUGAAAGGGGGGGAUCGCAAGACCUCUCGCUAUUGGAUCGGCCGAUGUCAGAUUAGCUAGUUGGUGGGGUAAAAGCUCACCAAGGCGACGAUCUGUAGCUGGUCUGAGAGGACGACCAGCCACACUGGGACUGAGACACGGCCCAGACUCCUACGGGAGGCAGCAGUGGGGAAUUUUGGACAAUGGGCGCAAGCCUGAUCCAGCCAUGCCGCGUGCGGGAAGAAGGCCUUCGGGUUGUAAACCGCUUUUGUCAGGGAAGAAAUCCUUUGGGUUAAUACCUCGGGGGGAUGACGGUACCUGAAGAAUAAGCACCGGCUAACUACGUG
rnacentral:rRNA from 1 species